UUUAAAACUGCACCAGUUUGUAGCGAAGCUCCUCUCCCACGAUCUCACCUGCUCAUACGCUGUGUUCCUGGAGCGCAUACAAGACAUGCAUUUUUUUCAGUCAACUCAACCACAACAGGUGCUGCGCCAACGCAUCCGACGACACACAAAAACGGCGCUUGGAAGUUCCAAGUUUCAGCGAAAUUCCUCCGAUUUGUGAGACCCUUUGCCUGAAGUCACUGACCCUCCAUCUCCAGAGGAUGCCCCAACACCACACCCGACCUGAAGACAAUAUAAAAUGGUUACCUCUUCUUCCUCAUGGCUUGACUCUGAUGUCGAGGAAUUUCUUGAACUGCACCAGGUUGUCGCGAACCUCCACUCGCGUGAUCUCCCAUGCGCAUGUGCUGUGUUCCUGGAGAGCAUAUCAUAUAUAUAUAUAUAUGUAUUUUAUGUCUUCACUCAACUCAACCACAACAGGUGCGCUGCCAAGGCAUCCUAUGACACAACAAAGGCGCUUGGAAGUUCCCAGUUUCAUAUGUGAUUUGAGGCAGCGAAAUGCAUCCUAUUUGUGGUGGUUUAGAAUUUGCUCAGAUUAAUGUAGCCUCUAUUCGAGAGCAUUUUAUAUUGGACCCACCCUGUGGCGACCGGUUUUCCAACCGUAACCCACCUGUUUUGAGCCCCAUAUGUUUAACUACAUCAACAAAAUGAUU